rnacentral:rRNA from 1 species
CCUACGGGGGGCAGCAGUGGGGAAUAUUGGACAAUGGGGGGAACCCUGAUCCAGCGACGCCGCGUGAGUGAAGAAGUAUUUCGGUAUGUAAAGCUCUAUCAGCAGGGAAGAAAGAAAUGACGGUACCUGACUAAGCAGCCCCGGCUAACUACGUGCCAGCAGCCGCGGUAAUACGUAGGGGGCAAGCGUUAUCCGGAUUUACUGGGUGUAAAGGGAGCGUAGACGGCGAUGCAAGUCUGAAGUGAAAGGCGGGGGCCCAACCCCCGGACUGCAUUGGAAACUGUAUGGCUGGAGUGCAGGAGAGGUAAGUGGAAUUCCUAGUGUAGCGGUGAAAUGCGUAGAGAUUAGGAGGAACACCAGUGGCGAAGGCGGCUUACUGGACUGUAACUGACGUUGAGGCUCGAAAGCGUGGGGAGCAAACAGGAUUAGAUACCCUUGUAGUC